rnacentral:lncRNA from 1 species
AUAAAAUAAAUUAAUCUAAACCAUUUUUUUCAAACCCAAAUCCCUAAAUUUACUUCCCAAUUCUCAUUCUCUGUCUAACUCUCUCUGAUGUCUCGUUCUCUCACCAUCCUCUUUCUAUUGUGUCGUCGUCGGAGCACUGUCAAAGCCGAUCAACAUCGUCGAUCUGCAGUCACCAAAGGGGAAGAAAGACUCGACACGCCUCUGUCGCUGUUCGCACCUCGAUCUGCAGUCACCAUUCUAUUCUCUUUCUACUGUUCAUUUUUUUUUUGAUGAAUUUAUGGCAUUUGUGGCAGUUUUAUGUGAUUUUUGAGGUGAUUUUGUGGUGGUAGUGGAGGUGUGCAAGGCACCCGCGAUCUGAUGGUGCCGCGAUUGAUGAUUUUGACUUUGGUGUACGGUGGAUCGGUGGUAGUGUGAUUACAGUGGUUGUGUGGAUGAUGUGGAUCGGUGGUGGUGUGAUUACAAUUUACAGUGGUGGUGAUUUUUUGAUCGGUGGUGGUGUGUUAUAGUGAUGGUGAUUUUGCGUUGAUGUGGUGGUGGGUUUGCAUUGACGUCGUGUGUGGUGGUUGCUGUUGAGGUGGUUUUGCACAAUCUGGUGAGACGAUGGUGGUGGUCGGGGGUGGAUGGGAUGGGACUGGGGUUGUUUGUCACCAAUUAUUUAAUUGAUUGUGAUCUACAAAAUAUAAUUGUGACUCAUGAUUUAUGAAGUUGUGACCGUAAAAUUAAUUGUGAUCAAUCAUUUUGAUAAUUUGUUAUUGACAAAUAAGUUGUGAUCAAUAAAAAUUUUGAUUUUGUCACCAAUCAAUGAAUUGUGACCUAUGAAAUUUUUUAUUUGUGACCGAGAAUUAAGUUGUGACCAAUAAAAAUUUAGAUUUUGUGAUCGAUCAAUGAAUUGUG